UACAGAGGUCUCAAGCGUUGUUCGGAUUCAUUGGGCGUAAAGGGUGCGUAGGUGGCGCGGUAAGUCGGGUGUGAAAUUUCGGAGCUUCACUCCGAAACUGCAUUCGAUACUGCCGUGCUUGAGGACUGGAGAGGAGACUGGAAUUUACGGUGUAGCAGUGAAAUGCGUAGAGAUCGUAAGGAAGACCAGUGGCGAAGGCGGGUCUCUGGACAGUUCCUGACACUGAGGCACGAAGGCCAGGGGAGCAAACGGG
rnacentral:rRNA from 1 species